AGAGUUUGAUCCUGGCUCAGGAUGAACGCUGGCGGCGUGCCUAAUACAUGCAAGUCGAGCGAACGGACGAGAAGCUUGCUUCUCUGAUGUUAGCGGCGGACGGGUGAGUAACACGUGGAUAACCUACCUAUAAGACUGGGAUAACUUCGGGAAACCGGAGCUAAUACCGGAUAAUAUUUUGAACCGCAUGGUUCAAAAGUAAAAGACGGUCUUGCUGUCACUUAUAGAUGGAUCCGCGCUGCAUUAGCUAGUUGGUAAGGUAACGGCUUACCCAGGCAACGAUGCAUAGCCGACCUGAGAGGGUGAUCGGCCACACUGGAACUGAGACACGGUCCAGACUCCUACGGGAGGCAGCAGUAGGGAAUCUUCCGCAAUGGGCGAAAGCCUGACGGAGCAACGCCGCGUGAGUGAUGAAGGUCUUCGGAUCGUAAAACUCUGUUAUUAGGGAAGAACAUAUGUGUAAGUAACUGUGCACAUCUUGACGGUACCUAAUCAGAAAGCCACGGCUAACUACGUGCCAGCAGCCGCGGUAAUACGUAGGUGGCAAGCGUUAUCCGGAAUUAUUGGGCGUAAAGCGCGCGUAGGCGGUUUUUUAAGUCUGAUGUGAAAGCCCACGGCUCAACCGUGGAGGGUCAUUGGAAACUGGAAAACUUGAGUGCAGAAGAGGAAAGUGGAAUUCCAUGUGUAGCGGUGAAAUGCGCAGAGAUAUGGAGGAACACCAGUGGCGAAGGCGACUUUCUGGUCUGUAACUGACGCUGAUGUGCGAAAGCGUGGGGAUCAAACAGGAUUAGAUACCCUGGUAGUCCACGCCGUAAACGAUGAGUGCUAAGUGUUAGGGGGUUUCCGCCCCUUAGUGCUGCAGCUAACGCAUUAAGCACUCCGCCUGGGGAGUACGACCGCAAGGUUGAAACUCAAAGGAAUUGACGGGGACCCGCACAAGCGGUGGAGCAUGUGGUUUAAUUCGAAGCAACGCGAAGAACCUUACCAAAUCUUGACAUCCUUUGACAACUCUAGAGAUAGAGCCUUCCCCUUCGGGGGACAAAGUGACAGGUGGUGCAUGGUUGUCGUCAGCUCGUGUCGUGAGAUGUUGGGUUAAGUCCCGCAACGAGCGCAACCCUUAAGCUUAGUUGCCAUCAUUAAGUUGGGCACUCUAAGUUGACUGCCGGUGACAAACCGGAGGAAGGUGGGGAUGACGUCAAAUCAUCAUGCCCCUUAUGAUUUGGGCUACACACGUGCUACAAUGGACAAUACAAAGGGCAGCGAAACCGCGAGGUCAAGCAAAUCCCAUAAAGUUGUUCUCAGUUCGGAUUGUAGUCUGCAACUCGACUACAUGAAGCUGGAAUCGCUAGUAAUCGUAGAUCAGCAUGCUACGGUGAAUACGUUCCCGGGUCUUGUACACACCGCCCGUCACACCACGAGAGUUUGUAACACCCGAAGCCGGUGGAGUAACCUUUUAGGAGCUAGCCGUCGAAGGUGGGACAAAUGAUUGGGGUGAAGUCGUAACAAGGUAGCCGUAUCGGAAGGUGCGGCUGGAUCACCU
rnacentral:rRNA from 1 species